GCUGAUUUAGUUUAUUUUAAAAUUUAAAGUUAGGGGGAUUAAGAUUUUUUUCCGUU
rnacentral:tRNA from 1 species